rnacentral:rRNA from 1 species
UGUGAAGUUACUUAAACAACCAGGAGGUUGGCUUAGAAGCAGCCAUCCUUUAAAGAAAGCGUAAUAGCUCACUGGUCUAGUGAUUUUGCGCGGAAAAUAUAACGGGGCUAAAGUAAGUACCGAAGCUGUAGACUUAGUUUACUAAGUGGUAGGAGAGCGUUCUAUUUGCGUCGAAGGUAUACCGGUAAGGAGUGCUGGAGCGAAUAGAAGUGAGCAUGCAGGCAUGAGUAGCGAUAAUUAAUGUGAGAAUCAUUAACGCCGUAAACCCAAGGUUUCCUACGCGAUGCUCGUCAUCGUAGGGUUAGUCGGGUCCUAAGUCGAGUCCGAAAGGGGUAGACGAUGGCAAAUUGGUUAAUAUUCCAAUACCAACAUUAGUGUGCGAUGGAAGGACGCUUAGGGCUAAGGGGGCUAGCGGAUGGAAGUGCUAGUCUAAGGUCGUAGGAGGUUAUACAGGCAAAUCCGUAUAACAAUACUCCGAGAACUGAAAGGCUUUUUGAAGUCUUCGGAUGGAUAGAAGAACCCCUGAUGCCGUCGAGCCAAGAAAAGUUUCUAAGUUUAGCUAAUGUUGCCCGUACCGUAAACCGACACAGGUGGGUGGGAUGAGUAUUCUAAGGCGCGUGGAAGAACUCUCUUUAAGGAACUCUGCAAAAUAGCACCGUAUCUUCGGUAUAAGGUGUGGUUAGCUUUGUAUUAGGAUUUACUCCGAAAGCAAGGAAACUUACAACAAAGAGUCCCUCCCGACUGUUUACCAAAAACACAGCACUCUGCUAACUCGUAAGAGGAUGUAUAGGGUGUGACGCCUGCCCGGUGCUCGAAGGUUAAUUGAUGGGGUUAGCAUUAGCGAAGCUCUUGAUCGAAGCCCGAGUAAACGGCGGCCGUAACUAUAACGGUCCUAAGGUAGCGAAAUUCCUUGUCGGUUAAAUACCGACCUGCAUGAAUGGCGUAACGAGAUGGGAGCUGUCUCAAAGAGGGAUCCAGUGAAAUUGUAGUGGAGGUGAAAAUUCCUCCUACCCGCGGCAAGACGGAAAGACCCCGUGGACCUUUACUACAGCUUGACACUGCUACUUGGAUAAGAAUGUGCAGGAUAGGUGGGAGGCUUUGA